AUUGAACGCUGGCGGCAGGCCUAACACAUGCAAGUCGAACGAGUGGCGGACGGGUGAGUAAUGUCUGGGAAACUGCCUGAUGGAGGGGGCUAAAUACUGGAAACGGUAGCUAAUACCGCAUACCAUCGGAUGUGCCCAGAUGGGUUUAGCUAGUAGGUGGGGUAAAGGCUCAACUAGGCGACGAUCCCUAGCUGGUCCGAGAGGAUGACCAGCCACACUGGAGCUGAGACACGGUCCAGAAUCCUACGGGAGGCAGCAGUGAGGAAUAUUGCACAAUGAGCGCAAGCCUGAUACAGCCAUGCCGCGUGUAUGAGAAAGGCCAUCGGGUUGUAAAGUACUUUCAGCGGAGAGGCGUUACCCGCAGAAGAAGCAACGGCUAACUCCGUGCCAGCAGCCGCGGUAAUAC
rnacentral:rRNA from 1 species